GUACACAUUAAUAAUGUAUCUAAGUUAAGCAUGCACAUAAGUGUCUCUAGAAUUGGGGCAUUACCUGUUAAACUGAUUUCUUCUUUAUGGUAGUUCAGACCUGGUCUAAACUGGAAAGAUUUUAUACUUAAAGUCAAAGCAAACCACAGCUAUCUCAUCACAAAUUAUUUUAGUUGUGUUAUCAAGCUAUGAUGUAUUUGCGUUGAAGUGACAUACUUCUUUCUCAGAGUAAGCCAUACAGAAUAAGUUUAUUCACACUAUGAGAUUGGUGUGAAUAGAUGGCAAUUCCAGGCUCAUAAUACUGCUUUAGAAGCUUUUUCACUUUACACAUGGCUUUAGUGUCCUCCGGAAGAGCUCUCUUCCUCCUAUUUAGAUAUUGGGAUAUACCAAGAACACCUGUUGCCAAUCCAGCUUUUGUAAGACUUCUUAAGACUUCUUAAGACUGUAAGACUUCUUAAAAAUUGAUCGUGGGCUUCAUCCCCUGUAUUUCCAACAAAGAUUCUGGAUCUUCCUCUGUGAAGAGAUAAUGGAUCAUGUUUAGAUUAUGUUCGUACUCACUAAGAGAUCAGACAACCAACACUAGAUAGCUGAAUACAUCUCCAGGAAAGAAUAGUUCAAGGAUGUGCAUCAAAGUCAAGUAUCCUGAUAAAAAUUUGUUAAAACACCAAUGACAAAAGCCUUCAGGAAAAUGCUCCUAGGACAUACGCACACUGUGUGGAGAUGAACUGAAUUUGGCAGAGGCUGUCUUGGAAUACUGAGCAUUGUGCCCAGACUAAAGCAGAAACACAAAUGGAAGCUACACUGGCACCUGUGGACUUUGAUUGGAAGAAAAAUUCCCUGAACAGCCAAGACUAUUUAUGAAAGAUCAAAUAUGAUACGCCCAGGAAACAGAUUGACAGUGCUGCAGAGGGAACCUCAUCUGCAUCUUGCAUGGCACAGCCCACAGAGGAAGGGAUGUUACUAAUUCUUUGGUAAACCUGAGGAAAGAGAAGGCAAACAUCCUUCUUCAUCUUUAGCUUUGUGAAGGGAUGCCAGCUGCAGGCAAAGUGUCCAAAGAAAGGAAGAGUUCGUGUUGCAAGACAAGCUCAAGAGCAAAGGCGUGUAUGACAUGCUGAGAAAUGGUCAAGGGAUCAAAUGAAGUUGCAAAGAGAAAGGGAUGUAAAUGAAGAGAACAUUGGACACGGUACAAAAGCUGAUAAACGUGCUGAAAAACUUUGUUGCACUUUUCUCACCUCUAACAUCCUAAAGCAAUCCAGUCCUGUAGCCUUUCGUUCUUUCAACUGUAAGCAACAGGCAGUUCGUUCAGAUGUUCCACCCCAAGGGAAGCGCACAUGGUCUGACUUGCACGUUUCUGAACCCCUUAUAAACAUGUGUCCAGCCUUUACAUUAGUUCUCAGUCCCAGUUAUUUCUCUGUUUGCACCAUCAUGUACAAAAGUAGUCAGUUAUAGACUGGACUUAACUGGAAAGAAUUAUUAAAGUGUAGGUCUCCCUAUUAGUAGCCAUUUGUAAUAAAAUUAAAGUACACAAACUGUAUAUAACACAUUGUAUUCAUUUCGUUGCACUACUAUAGAAUUUCUUCUGCACCUGUGCUUGUAAAACAUGAGUACCACAUUUCUCUGAACACAGUUCGCCGGAUCUGACAGAUAUAUGGAGAGAUUAGCUGUUCGGAAUAUUACAAAGUUUUCAUUUUCUGCUUCCAUCUAUUCUCUCAGAUAUUGGGCAAAAUUCAGCAAACUCCUGAGACAGAUAUUAUGUCAGGGUGAGCACCCUCUGGAAUGGGGAUGGGGGUGGAAUACGGUCAUACUUGAGUAGCACAGAGGCAGAUUGGACUUGAUAAAAGCUGGAAGCCUCUGCUUUGCUUGAGGUAGGAUACUGCUAGCAAGCAAUUAGCAACAUCUUGGCUUAUAAAAAACAUUUCAUGCUUGAUCUUCUACAUUUGAGGAAGGAAGAGGGACUGUCUGGUGCACCAUUCUUGGAAGCUUGCCAGCCCCUGCCUAGAGCAGGCUCUAACCUAUGAUUAAACACCUCUGCUUUCCUUGCUGUCUUCCAAAUGUUCACUGAUCGUUCUGCCUCAGCUGAAGACAUUUAAAUGUCUAGAAAAGGUUCUGAAUAACUGGUGAAACAAAGAUGCAUUCUUACAGGGUUGCACUUAGUGCUACAACACCAUUUUAAAUCCACUUGUUUUAUUGCAUAAAACAACAAUGAACUUUUUCCCUAAAAACUCUGGCACCAGACCUUUUCCAAGCCUUUGCAUACAAAUGUUAGCAAAUUUCUUACGAUACCCAGUUUGGUAUGCCAUCUUGAUGAGCAGAAAAGGCCUGGAAUCAGCAUCCUAAGACAGUUCCUCUUUAUUUUGCACAAAAGGUGGGAGAAACCUGUUGUUUCCCAAAACUUUAUUUGUAAAAACAUGGCAGUGGACUGAGACUUGAUUUGGAGCAGUAAUGACAGCCCUGAGGUUACUCUCAAUAGCUCCUCAUAUGAAGCUGUCAGUUUUAUGAAAACAUUGCAAAUCUCUCAUCAGGGCCAAAAGACAAGUAUGAAUGUGUACUAUUGUGAUAAUCAUAUUUUACACCUACAAACUGACAUGCAGGAAAACAUUACCGUGGUAUAAAAAAAUGCACUAAUCCUUAUGAAGUUGUGAGUGUUGAAGAUCUGUGCUCUGGUGCUUUUGGGCUGACUAGUUGCUAGUACAGCUGAAGUAACGUUUUUUUCCCAGAUAUUUAACAGUUCUUAGAAACUGUCUGAAAAUGGAAGUGCACUGUGCUCCUCAAUAACAGUAGUAGUAAAAAA